AGCCGGAUGUCCUCGUAGGGCACCUCCUGGAAGAGCAGGGGCGUGGCCUGCUCCCACACACGGAAGGCCCGGCGCACUGCCUCCAGGGAGUGGUACCAGCCCAGCUUCUCUGUGUAGUUCUGGAUGCUGCAGAUGGAAGCUGUGUCUAUGAGGACAGCCUACAGGAGCCCCUCCAGGAUGUACUGCACUGCACUGGCUCCUCCAGGAUGGCCCUCUACCAUUACAGGCAGACUGCUGGGGACCCUACAGGGUUCAGAACCUCUUGAGUUCUCACCAACCAGCCAUCCUGCCAGAUUUUUCUGAGCCAGGCGCCAUGCCAGCUGGAGGCUGUGAAGGACUAUGGCUGAGGCAUCCUGACCUCAGGGCUUACAAUCUCCCUGGGGAGACCCAGUGUCCCCACAGAGUGAG